UACGUAGGGCGCGAGCGUUGUCCGGAAUUAUUGGGCGUAAAGAGCUCGUAGGCGGUUUGUCGCGUCUGUCGUGAAAGCCCACGGCUUAACCGUGGGUCUGCGGUGGAUACGGGCAGACUAGAGGCAGGUAGGGGAGAAUGGAAUUCCCGGUGUAGCGGUGAAAUGCGCAGAUAUCGGGAGGAACACCGGUGGCGAAGGCGGUUCUCUGGGCCUGUACUGACGCUGAGGAGCGAAAGCGUGGGGAGCGAACAGG
rnacentral:rRNA from 1 species